UGAACUGCCGAAGACAGUAGGUGCAGAAAUGCAUAAGUUGGAAACGCCUACCGAGGAAAGAUAUCGUUAAUGUAGAUUUAACUAUAUGCUCUCUGUCUUUUGGACAGGGAGCUUUCUUUAUAU
rnacentral:sRNA from 1 species